rnacentral:rRNA from 1 species
AAUCAACGCUGGCGGCGUGCCUCAGACAUGCAAGUCGAACGAUUAAAGCUCUCUUCGGAGAGUGUAUAGAGUGGCGCACGGGUGAGUAACACGUAAGUAAUCUACCCUCGAGUGGGGAAUAACGUCCGGAAACGGACGCUAAUACCGCAUAAUGCAGCGGCACCGCAAGGUGACAGUUGUUAAAGGAGAAAUUCGCUUGAGGAGGAGCUUGCGGCAGAUUAGCUUGUUGGUAAGGUAACGGCUUACCAAGGCUACGAUCUGUAACCGGUCUUAGAGGACGGUCGGUCACACUGACACUGAAUAACGGGUCAGACUCCUACGGGAGGCAGCAGUCGGGAAUU